rnacentral:rRNA from 1 species
GACGAGCGCUGGCGGCGUGCCUAAUACAUGCAAGUCGAGCGGACUUAAAAAGCUUGCUUUUUAAGUUAGCGGCGGACGGGUGAGUAACACGUGGGCAACCUGCCUGUAAGACUGGGAUAACUUCGGGAAACCGGAGCUAAUACCGGAUAAUCCUUUUCUACUCAUGUAGAAAAGCUGAAAGACGGUUUACGCUGUCACUUACAGAUGGGCCCGCGGCGCAUUAGCUAGUUGGUGAGGUAACGGCUCACCAAGGCGACGAUGCGUAGCCGACCUGAGAGGGUGAUCGGCCACACUGGGACUGAGACACGGCCCAGACUCCUACGGGAGGCAGCAGUAGGGAAUCUUCCGCAAUGGACGAAAGUCUGACGGAGCAACGCCGCGUGAGUGAUGAAGGUUUUCGGAUCGUAAAACUCUGUUGUUAGGGAAGAACAAGUACGAGAGUAACUGCUCGUACCUUGACGGUACCUAACCAGAAAGCCACGGCUAACUACGUG